CGUAGGGUGCGAGCGUUAAUCGGAAUUACUGGGCGUAAAGCGUGCGCAGGCUGUUCUGUAAGUCAGAUGUGAAAUCCCCGAGCUCAACUUGGGAACUGCGUUUGAAACUACAAGACUAGAAUAUGUCAGAGGGGGGUAGAAUUCCACGUGUAGCAGUGAAAUGCGUAGAGAUGUGGAGGAAUACCAAUGGCGAAGGCAGCCCCCUGGGAUAAUAUUGACGCUCAUGCACGAAAGCGUGGGGAGCAAACAGGAUUAGAUACCCUGGUAGUCCACGCCCUAAACGAUGUCUACUAGUUGUUGGUGGAGUAAAAUCCAUGAGUAACGCAGCUAACGCGUGAAGUAGACCGCCUGGGGAGUACGGUCGCAAGAUUA
rnacentral:rRNA from 1 species